rnacentral:rRNA from 1 species
UACAGAGGUCUCAAGCGUUGUUCGGAUUCAUUGGGCGUAAAGGGUGCGUAGGUGGCGCUGUAAGUCGGGUGUGAAAUUUCGGAGCUUAACUCCGAAACUGCAUUCGAUACUGCGGUGCUUGAGGACUGGAGAGGAGACUGGAACUCAUGGUGUAGCAGUGAAAUGCGUAGAGAUCAUGAGGAAGACCAGUGGCGAAGGCGGGUCUCUGGACAGUUCCUGACACUGAGGCACGAAGGCCAGGGGAGCAAACGGG